rnacentral:lncRNA from 1 species
CUGCAAAUUCUUAUCCUCUACACUGUUAGAAAAAAAUAUUUCAGUGAAGCUUCCAAAGUGUGGAAAUUGCUGUUGUCAUCCACCAGAAGAGAAAAGUCACUGCCCUUGGUGACAUAAUUGAGACUGCGUGUAACAAUGUAUGAUAUGAUCAGGUCAUUUCCUGCCUUAAAUGAAUACUUUAGGUUACCAGAGCCAUGUGUAAAUACCAAAGAAACGACAUACUCUGAAAGUGACCAAGCAAACUCAAGCAUCU